UGAAACCUUGUGUUUUUGAACUAUUACAGACCAGCGGUGGUUUAUUAGGAGCACGUCAAGCACGUUGUACAUUUGACGGGGAAUACGAAGAGAUUCAAUGUCAUGUUAGAGAAUGUUGGUGCGUUGACAAAAAUGGAAUUGAAAGAAUGGGAACACGAGUAUCCAUGAUAACUUGGGAGAGAUCACUUGUUUGUUAAGAUUGUAAAAGUUCCGGCAAUGUGGUCGAAAGGAGUUAUAACUCAUAUUCCGAAAAGCUCCACAUUAGAUACUAGGCACCUGAUGAGAUUGUCUGAUUUUGUGAUGAACUGAAUGGUUUUUGGAAUAGAUGUUGUACUGUCGACCAUUUAAGUAAACUAAUUAUGACAGAAAAGAUCUGGAAGUCUUCGUAAACAAUGACCUGAUGUAUAUUUACCUUUCAAAAUUCCGAUGAUUCGAUAAAUAUAAAUUUGUUAUUUGGAAAUUAAAACAAA